CAGCCGCCGCGGGAAUACGGAGGAUCCAAGCGUUAUCCGGAUUUAUUGGGUUUAAAGGGUGCGUAGGUGGCCUGUUAAGUCAGGGGUGAAAGACGGUAGCUUAACUAUCGCAGUGCCCUUGAUACUGAUGGGCUUGAAUGAACUAGAGGUAGGCGGAAUGUGACAAGUAGCGGUGAAAUGCAUAGAUAUGUCACAGAACACCAAUUGCGAAGGCAGCUUACUAUGGUUUUAUUGACACUGAGGCACGAAAGCGUGGGGAUCAAACAGGAUUAGAUACCCGAGUAGUCCCUGUCUCUUAUAU
rnacentral:rRNA from 1 species